rnacentral:rRNA from 1 species
CAGUCGUACGCUUCUUUUUCCCCGGAGCUUGCUCCACCGGAAAAAGAAGAGUGGCGAACGGGUGAGUAACACGUGGGUAACCUGCCCAUCAGAAGGGGAUAACACUUGGAAACAGGUGCUAAUACCGUAUAACAAUCGAAACCGCAUGGUUUUGAUUUGAAAGGCGCUUUCGGGUGUCGCUGAUGGAUGGACCCGCGGUGCAUUAGCUAGUUGGUGAGGUAACGGCUCACCAAGGCCACGAUGCAUAGCCGACCUGAGAGGGUGAUCGGCCACAUUGGGACUGAGACACGGCCCAAACUCCUACGGGAGGCAGCAGUAGGGAAUCUUCGGCAAUGGACGAAAGUCUGACCGAGCAACGCCGCGUGAGUGAAGAAGGUUUUCGGAUCGUAAAACUCUGUUGUUAGAGAAGAACAAGGAUGAGAGUAACUGUUCAUCCCUUGACGGUAUCUAACCAGAAAGCCACGGCUAACUACGUGCCAGCAGCCGCGGUAAUACGUAGGUGGCAAGCGUUGUCCGGAUUUAUUGGGCGUAAAGCGAGCGCAGGCGGUUUCUUAAGUCUGAUGUGAAAGCCCCCGGCUCAACCGGGGAGGGUCAUUGGAAACUGGGAGACUUGAGUGCAGAAGAGGAGAGUGGAAUUCCAUGUGUAGCGGUGAAAUGCGUAGAUAUAUGGAGGAACACCAGUGGCGAAGGCGGCUCUCUGGUCUGUAACUGACGCUGAGGCUCGAAAGCGUGGGGAGCAAACAGGAUUAGAUACCCUGGUAGUCCACGCCGUAAACGAUGAGUGCUAAGUGUUGGAGGGUUUCCGCCCUUCAGUGCUGCAGCUAACGCAUUAAGCACUCCGCCUGGGGAGUACGACCGCAAGGUUGAAACUCAAAGGAAUUGACGGGGGCCCGCACAAGCGGUGGAGCAUGUGGUUUAAUUCGAAGCAACGCGAAGAACCUUACCAGGUCUUGACAUCCUUUGACCACUCUAGAGAUAGAGCUUCCCCUUCGGGGGCAAAGUGACAGGUGGUGCAUGGUUGUCGUCAGCUCGUGUCGUGAGAUGUUGGGUUAAGUCCCGCAACGAGCGCAACCCUUAUUGUUAGUUGCCAUCAUUUAGUUGGGCACUCUAGCAAGACUGCCGGUGACAAACCGGAGGAAGGUGGGGAUGACGUCAAAUCAUCAUGCCCCUUAUGACCUGGGCUACACACGUGCUACAAUGGGAAGUACAACGAGUCGCGAAGUCGCGAGGCUAAGCUAAUCUCUUAAAGCUUCUCUCAGUUCGGAUUGUAGGCUGCAACUCGCCUACAUGAAGCCGGAAUCGCUAGUAAUCGCGGAUCAGCACGCCGCGGUGAAUACGUUCCCGGGCCUUGUACACACCGCCCGUCACACCACGAGAGUUUUAACACCCGAAGUCGGUGA